UACGAAGGGGGCUAGCGUUGCUCGGAAUCACUGGGCGUAAAGCGCACGUAGGCGGAUUGCUAAGUCAGGGGUGAAAUCCUGGAGCUCAACUCCAGAACUGCCUUUGAUACUGAAAAUCUUGAGUAUGGGAGAGGUGAGUGGAACUGCGAGUGUAGAGGUGAAAUUCGUAGAUAUUCGCAAGAACACCAGUGGCGAAGGCGGCUCACUGGCCCAUAACUGACGCUGAGGCACGAAAGCGUGGGGAGCAAACAGG
rnacentral:rRNA from 1 species